GUGUCACCACUUCGUCCACGACAUCGUCCACGAUCACAGAGACAUGGUCCACGAUCGGAGAGACAUUGUUGAGGAUGAGGGAGACAUCGUCCUCGAUCAGAGACAUUGUCCACGAUCGCAGAGACCUUGUCAAAGAUGAGAGAGACGUCGUCCAUGAUCAGAGACAUUGUCCCAUGCUUCGUAGAGACCUUGCGAUAGAAUCGGCGGAGACGGGGGUCACCGAUUUGACGGCAUUGCCCGCGAUCAUGGAGACAUUGUCGAAGAUCACAGAGACGCCGUCUAUGAUCUCAGAGACAUCGUCCACGAUCGCAAAGACAUUGGCCAUGAUCACAGAGACUUUGUCCAUAAUCUCAGAGACAUUGUCCGCGAUCACAGAGACGUAGUCCACGAUCAUAGAGCGUCUUCGUACAAUGAAGAAGGUCUUUGAGACCAGGACAAAGGCCUCCAGGUGUCACCACUUCGUCCACGACAUCGUUCACGAUCGCAGAGACAUGGUCCACGAUUGGAGAGACAUUGUUGAGGAUGAGGGAGACAUCGUCCUCGAUCAGAGACAUUGUCCACGAUCGCAGAGACCUUGUCAAAGAUGAGAGAGACGUUGUCCAUGAUCAGAGACAUUGUCCCAUGCUUCGUAGAGACCUUGCGAUAGAAUCGGCGGAGACGGGGGUCACCGAUUUGACGGCAUUGCCCGCGAUCAUGGAGACAUUGUCGAUGAUCACAGAGACGCCGUCUAUGAUCUCAGAGACAUCGUCCACGAUCGCAAAGACAUUGGCCAUGAUCACAGAGACUUUGUCCAUAAUCUCAGAGACAUUGUCCGCGAUCACAGAGACAUUGUCCGCGAUCACAGAGACGUAGUCCACGAUCAUAGAGCGUCUUCGUACAAUGAAGAAGGUCUUUGAGACCAGGACAAAGGCCUCCAGGUGUCACCACUUCGUCCACGACAUCGUCCACGAUCGCAGAGACAUGGUCCACGAUUGGAGAGACAUUGUUGAGGAUGAGGGAGACAUCGUCCUCGAUCAGAGACAUUGUCCACGAUCGCAGAGACCUUGUCAAAGAUGAGAGAGACGUUGUCCAUGAUCAGAGACAUUGUCCCAUGCUUCGUAGAGACCUUGCGAUAGAAUCGGCGGAGACGGGGGUCACCGAUUUGACGGCAUUGCCCGCGAUCAUGGAGACUUUGUCGAUGAUCACAGAGACGCCGUCUAUGAUCUCAGAGACAUCGUCCACGAUCGCAAAGACAUUGGCCAUGAUCACAGAGACUUUGUCCAUAAUCUCAGAGACAUUGUCCGCGAUCACAGAGACGUAGUCCACGAUCAUAGAGCGUCUUCGUACAAUGAAGAAGGUCUUUGAGACCAGGACAAAGGCCU